AGGGAUGCCUUGUGACCUGGGCUUUCAGCUUCAGAGCUGAAAAGCCUAAGUGCUUAUCUGUAGAUUUCUCCUCUCAGCCCACAGCCCCAGCUCAUGGUACAGGCAAGGCCUGCAACAACAGGCAGGUGGACCUGGGUAGCAGAGGCCUGUAGAGUUUGGCAGAGGCGCCUCAUGCUCUUAUUUGCAGCCCUUUGCCUGUGAUUAGUGGUUUGGCUUGGGAAACCUUGGAAAGGGCUCAGAGAACCAAGCUGCUGAUUAACGCCACAGCUGGUCAACACAGCG
rnacentral:lncRNA from 1 species